rnacentral:rRNA from 1 species
CCCCUAGAUGUUCUGGGCCGCACGCGCGCUACACUGAACAGUUCAACAAGUCUUAACCUUGGCCGAUAGGUCUGGGUAAUCUUUGAACGCUGUUCGUGAUUGGGAUAGACCUUUGCAAUUAUGGAUCUUCAACGAGGAAUGCCUAGUAAGCGCAAGUCAUCAGCUUGCGUUGAUUACGUCCCUGCCCUUUGUACACACCGCCCGUCGCUCCUACCGAUUGAAUGGUCCGGUGAAGCGUUCGGACCGUGGCCUUUGGACGGUUCGCCGUCUGUUGGCUGCGGGAAGUUCGUUAAACCUUAUCAUUUAGAGGAAGGAGAAGUCGUAACA